GCUACGUUAACGCCGAAAAACCGCUGAGAAGGAAUGCCUGUUAAACAGACAACAACAAAACAGUUCGCUAUCAGCUCAAUGCUGCGGUAAAAAGGUCGACGGUUGAUUUAAUAAAAAGUUCAACGGAGCUCCUACCUUUUCGGGUAAACGGUUCAACAGUUUAGUACUUUAGUAUUGUAGCCUACCCUUUCCUCCUGACAGUUGAAGCUGACUGUGGCGAGAAGUAACGUAAAUCGGUGAGCGAUUACCAUGGUAACGCUGAAGCGCACUUGGACAGCUGAAUUAGAGUCGCACCAGAUUGUGUACAGCAACACACAUGCGCGCGAGAAGAGGAGCGAGCACGGUGACGUACGACUCCGCGGGUGCGCGCAUGUGGCCACAGUCGCGUCCACGUCGAGGUAAACAGUUACCUGGUAGAGCGGAAGACGGCGAGCGGAGGCGGCGGGACUCGCUGUUGGGCUCAACCGACCGAAAAAGGUCAGUGGGGGAAUUCGCAUGGACUCAUUGUUUCACCCUCUGAGAGGAGGAUAUCCCAGAGCAUGAUGGUUACACCACAUAAGAAUCAACAACAUGAGUUUGGAGCUCUGCAAGCUCUCAUUACCACCUCCACUGUUUCCCAGGCUGAGGAGACACUGUUCUCCCUGUCCAUUCUGUUUCUGCAUUGUUUGCUUCAUAACUCAGCGUCGUAAUCAUGACCAUACACAACAGGGCUGAUGACAGAACUCCAUUUGUGCUUUUUCAAUUUUUCCAUUUGAAGAAGGCAAACCCACUACCUCACACCUCACAGUUCAUAAGUCCACAGAAAGUUGUCUCUGAGUGCUGUUAGAGGUGGCUAACACUUAGCUGUGGGUCCAGCGGAAUUCAACAUUGGAGCUGCAG